rnacentral:rRNA from 1 species
GCGGCAGCGCGGGGGCACUCUGGCGGCGAGCGGCGAACGGGUGAGUAAUGUAUCGGAACGUACCCUGUCGUGGGGGAUAACACAGCGAAAGCUGUGCUAAUACCGCAUACGACCUGAGGGUGAAAGCGGGGGACCGUAAGGCCUCGCGCGAUAGGAGCGGCCGAUAUCGGAUUAGCUAGUUGGUGAGGUAAAGGCUCACCAAGGCGACGAUCCGUAGCUGGUCUGAGAGGACGACCAGCCACACUGGAACUGAGACACGGUCCAGACUCCUACGGGAGGCAGCAGUGGGGAAUUUUGGACAAUGGGGGCAACCCUGAUCCAGCCAUUCCGCGUGAGUGAAGAAGGCCUUCGGGUUGUAAAGCUCUUUCAGCAGGAACGAAACGGUGGUCCCUAAUACGGGUUACUAAUGACGGUACCUGAAGAAGAAGCACCGGCUAAC